rnacentral:rRNA from 1 species
AUUGAACGCUGGCGGCAGGCCUAACACAUGCAAGUCGAACGAGUGGCGGACGGGUGAGUAAUGUCUGGGAAACUGCCCGAUGGAGGGGGAUAACUACUGGAAACGGUAGCUAAUACCGCAUACCAUCGGAUGUGCCCAGAUGGGAUUAGCUUGUAGGUGAGGUAACGGCUCACCUAGGCGACGCGCUCAAGCUGGUCUGGGAGGAUGACCAGGCACCCGGGAACUGGGUCACGGUCCAGACUCCUACAAGUGGCAGCAGUGGAGAAUAUUGCACAAUGGGCGCAAGCCUGAUGCAGCCAUGCCGCGUGUAUGAAGAAGGCCUUCAGGUUGUAGAGUACUUUCAGUGGUGAGGCGUUACCCGCAGAAGAAGCGCCGGCUAACUCCGUGCCAGCAGCCGCGGUAAUAC